rnacentral:rRNA from 1 species
CCUACGGGAGGCAGCAGUGGGGAAUAUUGGGCAAUGGGCGCAAGCCUGACGCAGCAACGCCGCGUGAAGGAAGAAGGCUUUCGGGUUGUAAACUUCUUUUCUCAGGGACGAAGCAGGUGACGGUCCCUGAGGAAUAAGCCACGACUAACUACGUGCCAGCAGCCGCGGUAAUGCGUAGGUGGCAAGCGUUAUCCGGAUUUACUGGGUGUAAAGGGUGUGUAGGCGGGAAAGCAAGUCGGAUGUGAAAACCAUGGGCUCAACCUGUGGCCUGCAUUUGAAACUGUUUUUCUUGAGUACUGGAGAGGCAGACGGAAUUCCUAGUGUAGCGGUGAAAUGCGUAGAUAUUAGGAGGAACACCAGUGGCGAAGGCGGUUUGCUGGACAGCAACUGACGCUGAGGCGCGAAAGCGUGGGGAGCAAACAGGAUUAGAUACCCCAGUAGUC